GUGUGUGUGUGUGUGUGUGUUGGAAGCCACCCAGAGUGGCUGGAGCAACCCAGCCAGACGGGCAGGGUAUAUAAUAAUAAUAAUAAUAAUAAUAAUAAUAAUAAUAAUAAUUUAUUUAUACCCCACCCAUCCGGCUGGGUUUCCCCAGCCACUCUGGGCAGCUCCCAACAGAAUAUUAAAAUACAGU